UGGAGGGGUUGUGGUCCAAAUGGGACACUGAAGUUUAAAUUUUGAGAGAUGGAGCAUGCUAGUAAUGGUCCAAUUGUGGCCUUGAAACGCAUGGCUGAGAGCAGCGCAGAAAGGUGUCUGAAGUGAUUAGGAUAAAGUUAGGGGGAGGUUAGCGUGUCGAGUGCAUGGGUGUGAGCGAUUUGUCUCAGGACCUUGGUGGAAGCUGAUGUGUAGGGAGAAGGGAAGAGGAAUUCUGGGGAAGGUAUGGGCUGAAGAUUUUACUAUAUGCAGAAGAACUGGCCCUUUUGACGAUAUGUUUUCACCUCUGUGAGGUCGUGGAAUAGAGGGACACCAAAACACCAGGUGGAUAAAUUAACUACGUGAUGACAAUGCUGUACCCAGGACAUGAGGUGCCACAUUUACAAGAAUUGGAUGCAAAGCCCUGCAACUGAAGGUUAACUGCACCUAAAACAAUCAAGAUGCUGCUGCUCAGACCACUGAUGACAGAUGUGAAGAUGACUGUCAGAGAUGACUAUGCUUUUUCUGCAUAUAACUGUCCUCCACCCCCAACUCUGUCUAUAAAUGCUCUCAUUCCCUGCUUGGUCUCUGGACAGAUGUCCACCA